rnacentral:rRNA from 1 species
GACGAACGCUGGCGGCGCGCUUAACACAUGCAAGUCGAACGGAAAGGCCCUUCGGGGUCCUCGAGUGGCGAACGGGUGAGUAACACGUGGGUGAUCUGCCCUGCACUUUGGGAUAAGCCUGGGAAACUGGGUCUAAUACCGAAUAGGACCGCGCGCUUCAUGGUGUGUGGUGGAAAGCUUUUGCGGUGUGGGAUGGGCCCGCGGCCUAUCAGCUUGUUGGUGGGGUAAUGGCCUACCAAGGCGACGACGGGUAGCCGGCCUGGGAGGGUGACCGGCCACACUGGGACUGAGGUACGGCGCAGACUCCUACGGGAGGCAGCAGUGGGGAGUAUUGCACAGUGGGCGCAAGCCUGAUGCAGCGGCGCCGCGUGAGGGAUGACGGCCUUCGGGUUGUGAACCUCUUUCACCAGGGACGAGGCGCAAGUGACGGUACCUGAAGAAGAAGCACCGGCCAACUACGUG